rnacentral:rRNA from 1 species
GAUGAGCAUGCGUCCCAUUAGCUAGAUGGUAAGGUAACGGCUUACCAUGGCAACGAUGGGUAGGGGUCCUGAGAGGGAGAUCCCCCACACUGGUACUGAGACACGGACCAGACUCCUACGGGAGGCAGCAGUGAGGAAUAUUGGUCAAUGGGCGCAAGCCUGAACCAGCCAUGCCGCGUGCAGGAUGAAGCAUCUAUGGUGUGUAAACUGCUUUUGUACGAGAAGAAACACUCCUACGUGUAGGAGCUUGACGGUAUCGUAAGAAUAAGGACCGGCUAACUCCGUGCCAGCAGCCGCGGUAAUACGGAGGGUCCAAGCGUUAUCCGGAAUCAUUGGGUUUAAAGGGUCCGUAGGCGGUUUUGUAAGUCAGUGGUGAAAGCCCAUCGCUCAACGGUGGAACGGCCAUUGAUACUGCAAGACUUGAAUUAUUGGGAAGUAACUAGAAUAUGUAGUGUAGCGGUGAAAUGCUUAGAGAUUACAUGGAAUACCAAUUGCGAAGGCAGGUUACUACCAAUAUAUUGACGCUGAUGGACGAAAGCGUGGGGAGC